rnacentral:tRNA from 1 species
GGCGGCGUAGCUCAGCCCGGUUAGAGCAACGGCUUCAUAAGCCGUGUGUCAUCGGUUCAAAUCCGAUCGCCGCUACCA